rnacentral:rRNA from 1 species
UACGUAGGUGGCAAGCGUUGUCCGGAAUUAUUGGGCGUAAAGCGCGCGCAGGUGGUUUCUUAAGUCUGAUGUGAAAGCCCACGGCUCAACCGUGGAGGGUCAUUGGAAACUGGGGAACUUGAGUGCAGGAGAGAAGAGUGGAAUUCCACGUGUAGCGGUGAAAUGCGUAGAGAUGUGGAGGAACACCAGUGGCGAAAGCGGCUACCUGGCCCAUUCUUGACGCUGAGGCGCGAAAGCUAGGGGAGCAAACGGG